rnacentral:lncRNA from 1 species
CUCUUUUAAACAGGACCCUCCACUUUUCCACCAGUUUGUCCACCGGUGAAAAGGAGAAGCCAGCCAAGAACCAGGUUUGUGCUGAUAUUUCCUUGAGCCAUUUUGCUAGAAGUUAACAGAGGCUGGGCUCCUGGCUCCACUGCUUCUCUUCCUGGCUGUGGAACCUCAGGCAAUAUUCCUAUUACCUGCCCUCAGCUUCCAUUUCCGCAUCUGUAAAGUGGAGAUGAUAGAAAUCCAAUAGCGAUAAUAGUUGCAAGAAUUAAUUAAACUGGCAUACAUAAAUUUCUUAUCAGGGUGCCCAGCACAUUAGAAGUGAUUAAUAAUUCUGAGAUUUUAUUUUUUCACUUGAUCAUACAGCAGCUUCUGGCUACCUUGAUCAGAAGGUUGAUGAAGGCAAUGAAACAAAGAUGGAAAAACACAUCACACAGGUAAUUGCCUGUGCUCUUCCGCCUCCAGAGUGACACAGGUGCCUGGAAGGCAUGUUAGGUUGGGGUGGAGCCAGGGGAGGGGUCCAGCCAGAAAGAGGAUCUGGGAUGAAAGGCUGUUGCUGCCUUCAGAAAGCUCAGUGACUGGGGAGACAAACAUGUUUCAAACAAGGGGCCAUAGUGGCAUUUGGCAUAUUGUAAACUAGAGGCUUAUAGAAGAUGCUAAGAGAGGUUUGGAGAGUGCUGUGGUUUGAAUGUCCCCUCCAAAAUUCAUGUUAAAAUUUAAUUGCCAGUGUGACAGUAUUUAGAGGUGAUGAGGCCACGAGGGCUCCACCCUCAAGAAUUGAAUAAUGUUGUUACUGCCGGAGUGGGUUAGUUUUAUGAGAGUAGGCUGCUUGUACUAGUGAAUUUGACCCCCUCUUGCUCUCUUGCUCUCUCAUGCUGUCUUGCCUUCCACCUUCUGCCAUGGGGGUGACACACCACAAAGGCCCUUACCAGAUGCCAGCAUCUUGAUAUUGGACUUCCCAGCCUUCAGAACUCAAUUACAAAGAUAUGCUAAUGCUCUGCACCAAGUGGCAGCUACAUGCUUGAGACCAACACUGAAAAUCAGUCAUGGAAUCACUGCAUAUCUGAACAAGGGCCACGAGAGGAGGCACAGAUGGGUCAACUGACUUGAGCAGAGCCACCCAGCAAAUUCAGCGUCGGAGUAUGCUUCCCUUGCCUGAGAAUCGUUACAAAGAGGAGCAUCUGAUGAGGAAAUGAGAACUCCAGCCAGAAACCAGCAAUAAAUUGAGGGCUCCUAUAUGAGCAAUGCAUUCUCCAGCCCCAAUCAAGCCUUUGGAUAACUGCAGCUCCUGCCAGCAUUUUGACUGCACUUCAUGAAACACUUUGAGUCAGAGCCACCUACCUAAGCCACUCCAAAAUUCCUGACCGUCA